rnacentral:rRNA from 1 species
CGUAGGGUGCUAAGCGUUGUCCGGAAUUAUUGGGCGUAAAGAGCUCGUAGGUGGUCCGUUACGUCUGCUGUGAAAACUCGGGGCUCAACCCCGAGCCUGCAGUGGAUACGGGCGGACUAGAGUGCGUAGGGGAGACUGGAAUUCCUGGUGUAGCGGUGAAAUGCGCAGAUAUCAGGAGGAACACCGGUGGCGAAGGCGGGUCUCUGGACCGAUACUGACACUGAGGAGCGAAAGCGUGGGGAGCGAACAGGAUUAGAUACCCUGGUAGUCCACGCCGUAAACGUUGGGCGCUAGGUGUGGGGAACUUUCCACGUUCUCCGUGCCGCAGCUAACGCAUUAAGCGCCCCGCCUGGGGAGUACGGCCGCAAGGCUA